UACGGUUAUGUCACGUUGAAACACCUGUACUUGUCAGAUCAUCGAAGAGAAGCAACAUCGAGCCAGGUCACUACCCUGAUAGGUGACCACUUUGGAAUAACAGGUGCCGUAG